UAUCAAGAUAAACUUCUUUGGGGGGGCACAAUUUGUUGGAAAGAUUGUCCUUUCUCCAUUGAAUAACUUGUAUCCUUGACAGUAAUCAAUCAAUACGUUCAUAUAGAUCUUUUUUUUUUUUUUUUUUAAGUAGGCUCCACUCCCAGCGUGGAGCCCAGUGCCGGACUUGAACUCACAACCCUGAGAUUAUGACCUGAGCUGAAAUCAAGAGGCAGAUGCUUAACUAACUGAGCCACCCAGAUUUAUUUAUUUAUUUAUUUGAGAAGGAGAGCACAUGAGUGUGAAGUGGGGGAGGGGCAGAGAGAGAGAAAGGGAGAUAAGCAGACUCGCUGAAGAGUAGGGAGCCCAACAUGGGGCAAAAUCCUAGGACUCCAAGAUCAUGACCUGAGCUGAAAUCAAGAGCUGGACACUUAACCUGAGCCACCCAGGCACCCCAUGACUUUUUCUAUAUAAUAUUAAAGGCACAAUCUAUGAAAGAAAUAACUGAUAAGCUGAACUUCAUUAAAAUUAAAAUUUUCUGCUCUGCAAAGGACAUGGUCAAGAGAAUACAAAGAGAUGCCACAGAUUGGAAGAAAAUAUUUGCAAAAGACACAUCGGAUAAGAGAUUGCUAUCCAUAACAUACAGAAACUCUUAAAACUCAAGAAUAAGAAAAAAAAAUCCUCAACAAUAAGAAAACAAAUCACUCAAUUUAAAAAUGGGCCACAGCUCUGAACAGACACCUCACCAAAGAAGAUGUACAGAUGACAAAUAAGCAUAUGAAAAGAUGCUCCACAUCAUAUGUCAUCAGAGAAAUGCAAGUUAAAACAACGAGAUACCACUACACAUCUAUCAGGAUGGCCAAAAUCCAGAACACUGACAACACCAAAUGCUAUCAAGGAUGUGGAGCAACAAGAACUCUCACUCAUUGCUAGUGGGAAUGCAAAAUGGAGAUGAAAACAUAUAUCUACACAGAAACCUGCAUGCAGAUGUUUAUAGCAGCUUUAUUCAUAAUUGCCCAAAUCUGGAAGCAACCAAGAUGUUCUUCAGUAGGUGAGUGGGUAAGUAAACUGUGGUACACCCAGGCAAUGGAAUAUUAUUCAGUGUUAAAAAGAAAUAAGUUACCAAGCUAUGAAAGGACAUGGAGAUAACUUAAAUAGAUAUUACUAAGUGAAAGUAGCCAAUCUGCAAAGACUACAUACUAUAUGAUCUAACUAUUUGAAGUUCUGGAAAAGGCAAAACUAUGGAGACAGUAAAAAGGUCAGUGGUUGUGAGGGGUUAAGAGGGAGGGAGGCGUGAAUAGGCAGAGUGGAAGAUUUUUAGCACAGUGAAAAUACUCUGUAUCAUGCUAUAAUAAUGGACACAUGUUAUUACAAGUUUGUCCAAACCCAUAGACUGUACAACACAAAGAGUGAACCCUAAUGUAAGUUAUGGACUUUGAGUGAUAAUGAUGUGUCAAUGUAGGUUCAUUGAUUGCACAAAUGUACCACUCUGGUGUUGGAUAUUGAUAAUGAGAGAGGCUAUGCAUGUGUGGGGGUAGGGAGCUUAUGGGAAAUCUCUACCUUUUGCUCAAGUUUUCUGUGAACCUAAAACUGCUCUAAAAAGUAAAGUCUAUUAAAAAAAUCAAUAGCGGGGGCGCCUGGGUGUCACAGCGGUUAAGCGUCUGCCUUCGGCUCAGGGCGUGAUCCCUGCGUUAUGGGAUCGAGCCCCACAUCAGGCUCCUCUGCUAUGAGCCUGCUUCUUCCUCUCCCACUCCCCCUGCUUGUGUUCCCUCUCUUGCUGGCUGUCUCUCUCUCUGUCAAAUAAAUAAAUAAAAUCUUAAAAUCAAUAGCGGAAAAAUUUGAACAACACACACACACAGCUUUAAGCUUUCUACUGUUUUGCUGAUUGCAGGGUUGUAAAUACUUUUUGAGUAAUGGAAAAU
rnacentral:lncRNA from 1 species